CAAUAGCGUAUAUUAAAGUUGUUGCAGUUAAAAAGCUCGUAGUUGGAUUUCUGGUAGGAGCGACCAUGCCGAACUUGAUUGUUCGAGUAUUGUGUUGUCUUCAGCCAUCCUCGUGGAGAACUUUUCUAACAUUAACUUGUUGGGAUUGGGACCCGCGUCGUUUACUGUGAAAAAAUUAGAGUGUUUAAAGCAGGCAUUAGCUUGAAUACAUUAGCAUGGAAUAAUAAGAUAGGACUUUGGUACUAUUUUGUUGGUUUGCAUACCAAAUUAAUGAUCAACAGGAACAGUUUGAGGAUAUUCGUAUGAACAUGUCAGAGGUGAAAUUCUUGGAUUUUGAUCAGACGAACUACUGCGAAAGCAUUUAUCAAGGAUGUUUUCAUUAA
rnacentral:rRNA from 1 species